UACAGAGGGUGCGAGCGUUAAUCGGAAUUACUGGGCGUAAAGCGUGCGCAGGCGGUUGUGCAAGACAGAUGUGAAAUCCCCGGGCUCAACCUGGGAACUGCAUUGUGACUGCACGGCUGGAGUGCGGCAGAGGGGGAUGGAAUUCCGCGUGUAGCAGUGAAAUGCGUAGAUAUGCGGAGGAACACCGAUGGCGAAGGCAAUCCCCUGGGCCUGCACUGACGCUCAUGCACGAAAGCGUGGGGAGCAACAGG
rnacentral:rRNA from 1 species